GUCAUAUUCUCUGAUGAGUCCAAAUUUGCUGUAUUUUCUGACAGUGAUCGGAUGUGUGUCUGGAGACUCUGUGAUCAAAAAUUUCACGCGAAAAGAUUGCAGCCAAUAAUGAAACACGACCGCUAUUCUGUGAUGGUCUGGGGAGACCG